rnacentral:rRNA from 1 species
UACCUCAGUUCGGACUGGAGUCUGCAACCCGACUCCACGAAGCUGGAUUCGCUAGUAAUCGCGCAUCAGCCAUGGCGCGGUGAAUACGUUCCCGGGCCUUGUACACACCGCCCGUCAAGCCAUGAAAGCCGGGGGUGCCUGAAGUCCGUGACCGCGAGGGUCGGCCUAGGGUAAAACUGGUGAUUGGGGCUAAGUCGUAACAAGGUACC